rnacentral:tRNA from 1 species
GAUUAGAAUAUUACUUAAUACAUUUAAAUGUAUUAUGCUAUUACUAAGUUUUAAUUGUUCUA